rnacentral:rRNA from 1 species
GAUUCACAUUUUGUUCAUGGUAGAGAUUCUCUUGUUGACAUUUUAAAAUAGCGUGGAUUACUAUCUGAGUCCGAUGCUGUUCAACCACUAAUAGGUAAGAAAUCAUGAGUCAAGUUACUGAACAAUCCGUACGUUUCCAGACCGCUUUGGCCUCUAUUAAGCUCAUUCAGGCUUCUGCCGUUUUGGAUUUAACCGAAGAUGAUU